UACAGAGGUCUCAACCGUUGUUCGGAUUCAUUGGGCGUAAAGGGUGCGUAGGCGGUCGCGCAAGUCGGAUGUGAAAUCUCAGGGCUCAACCCUGAAACUGCAUUCGAUACUGGCGUGCUUGAGGACUGGAGAGGAGACUGGAAUUCAUGGUGUAGCAGUGAAAUGCGUAGAGAUCAUGAGGAAGACCAGUGGCGAAGGCGGGUCUCUGGACAGUUCCUGACACUGAGACACGAAGGCCAGGGGAGCAAACGGG
rnacentral:rRNA from 1 species